AUGCUUACGUAAAUAGGACUUUAACUCUCCACAAAGUCUGAAUUUUUGACUCGGAAAUUCCUCCAGUGAUUCAAAAUUCUACGACAAUUUUGAGAUAAAUUUUUACUUUGAAAUUUCGGAGUAAAGCUUGAACCGAGGAUACCCGUGACAAUUUGACGUGAGACAACUUUCUGGCAAAUCAUUAUCAUUGGAAAAUUGUCCAUUAUCCACUUACACAUGUCCAUACCCCAGGAUAACGCUGUCCACAUGAUGCUCGGAUUACGCAGUAACCACAAAUGAAGUCUCAACUAACCGGCGAAGCCAUCCCCAAAGGAAAGGACAACAUGACUGAAUUAUUUUGGCAUCGUUUCUAUGCAGCUAAGGGAUUUCGACAUGAUUACUCCUUCCUUGGAUGGAAGCAGAUCGCCGACUUACUUGCGAAACAGAAGAUAGCUAAGACUUAGCACUUUGCAAAUUUAGUUUAUGGAUUGAAAUUUUGAAAACGUUCUUCAGACCCAAUGUGUAGAUUUUUAAGUUGAGGAGUAGUUAAUAUUUAUAUAGAUACGUUCAGUGGCGGCGGAAGUUGGGGGGACAUGUGGGGACAUUAGCAUUGUGAGAUAGGAUGGGGAAACAUGGGAGAGAUAGGAUUUUACUGAAUUUCUGGAGGGACAAUGUCCCCCCGCUUCCGCCGCCACUGGAUACCUUAGAGAUGCAUGUCACUUUGUUUCAAAUGCACACUUGAGCUGAUUUACACUCUUAGAAAUAGGGUUACAAUUAUAACCAAAAUGUAAACGUAUAUGACACAACCGCCGUGGUUAUGAAUUUGUUACCAACUGGUUAUAAAUUUAUUAACUCUAGUGACAAUUUAAUUUAAUUUGACAAGUCGGUGAAACUUUAUAAUUAGUCGAUGACAAUUGUAACCAGUUGAAG